CUGUGACCGCUACAGAAUCACUGCAGCUGAGGGCUGCUCUCACAGUGGUACCCAUGGAUACAGUGGCCUGUUCUUCACUCCCAGGGGUAGAAGAGACUUCUAAGUUUGGAGGCCCUUCCUUUGAGCUGAGCGGAGGAGGCAACCGGGUCUCUUUAGAGGUCUGGAAGAGAUGGGCUCGAGCUUGAUGCUUUGCAAAGAGCUUAGCCUUUGUCUGCUCUUUGAUGUGUGCCAGAGUUCUCGUCUUUCCACCCUCUCCUGGACUUCCCAUGGCUCCAGAGACAAUGCUCGCUGCAGCAGCCACAGCAGCAGCUGCAGCAGCCUCUCGCUGGGCCCGAGCUUGUUGGGCCCGGGCCUUGAUAUCUGCGAGGGUCCUGGCUCCUGUGUUCCUCCCGCCACUGACAGAUGUGCUAGUGGAUGCUCGAGACUCAGGUUUGGAGACUGGUUGGCUCUUGAUUAUAAAAGGUGGCCCAAUUUUGGAAAGCUGAAUCUAAAAGGAGGACAGAAAAAAAAAUAUAAUGUGCUUCAUACAUGAUCACAGAGGAGGCACGUAGAAUGUGAUAAUGCAAGGGAAAAGACUAGCUGCAUUCUCUCCUAAUAUGCCAUGAACUACACCUAAAUCCCUGGAUGCACCCUUAGGGCAUAAAGCAAUAAGAAACGUAGUAUGAAUGGAAAAAAUUAAGUUUUUAAUCUGUUUUUUAAUCUACAAAAACAUCCAUUGUAACUUCAUUUGGCAUGGAAAUGAAGAAUCUUCUUAAUGCAUCAUACAAAUGGAUACAAAAUUCAUGCUUCUAGAAGUGUAGUAGGCUAAAAAGAAAGACUUCAAGAUAUUUAAUUUUGAAAUAUCUUUUUUAGUGGCAUAAAAAAGUGGAACUUCAACUCUAUUUGAGUUUGUCUGUCUUAAUUUGACCCAAAGAAAAAAGCCCUGACUGAGAUAUUGACAACUAGAAUUCUCAUUUUGACUUUACACAAAGGAACUUUGUGAUCCUAGGCUAAUCAUUGUGUACCUCAGUUUCUCCAAUAAUCUCUCUGAGCCAAGAACUCUAUGAUUUUUAUGCACUCCUAUGCUACCUUGCAUGCUGCUUUAUACAUAUAAGAACACAAGAGAAGUUUGUAAACUCAGUUGUAAAAUGGGACUAGUUAUUUCUGAUCUAUUUCCUUCAAAGGGCUGUUUUAAAGAUGGAAUGAGACUACAUUUGUCAGCGUGUUCUGUUUUCCAAAGGGAUUGUAUUAUCAUUGCAUUUGCAUAAAAGCAAGGGAAACUCUGAUUUUCUGUCUCUAAAGGAUUUAUGCAUUGGGCAGUUUCUUUUGAUAUUGGUAAUCCACAAUCUGCUGAAUUUUGUAAACGUCCCAACCCAUACUGUUUACCAAUUCUUGGUAAUUAAGAGACUCGCAGAGUCAUCACCAAAUUCAUGAGGCACAAGGUCUAACAGCCAGCAUUCCAUAGCAAGGCUGUGUUGCUCUAGUCACUAAAAGCAUUCUUAGUCAUGGCUGUGUAGAGCUGGAAAGACUCUAGUUGACAUCCCUCAUUUCACAGUUGAGGAAACUGAGGCUGUGCAGGUAAAGUAGUUUGCCUUGGGAUUAUAUAACUAGUGAGUGACUAGAGCCUUUGGACUUCCCAUUUGGUGGUGUUUCCAUGUAUUCUGUUUCCUUUUUCUCCAGAUUAUACAUAUCAAUUUAGAAUUAUGCUUUGGAACUUUGAUGGAUGAAAUUGUCUUCCUGAGCUAUCUUGUUUCUCAUUUUCAAACUGCUUGUGAAGUCUCUGUUCUAUUCCAAAGGCCAAAAAAAGAAAAGAUAGUUUUGAGGAGAAGAUUCAAUUUGCUCUUUUAAUAUUUCUCCUAUGUAAAAAAUUAAACAUAUUUUAAAUAAACUUAAAUAUCCUUAAGCAAGAGCUCUUAAGACCAAA